UUUAGGUCUGAGUCCAUCACUAGACCCAGAUUUCUUGUCUGGUUGGUGUUUUUUAGGUCUGAGUCCAUCACUAGACCCAGAUUUCUGGUCUGGUUGGUGGUUU